AGAGUUUGAUCCUGGCUCAGGAUGAACGCUAGCGACAGGCCUAACACAUGCAAGUCGAGGGGUAACAGGGGCUUCGGCCCGCUGACGACCGGCGCACGGGUGAGUAACGCGUAUGCAACCUGCCUGUAACAGCGGGAUAGCUCCCUGAAAGGGGAAUUAACACCGCAUAAGACCACGCUCUCGCAUGGGGACGGGGUAAAAUAUUUAUAGGUUACAGAUGGGCAUGCGUGACAUUAGUUAGUUGGUGAGGUAACGGCUCACCAAGACUGCGAUGUCUAGGGGUUCUGAGAGGAAGGUCCCCCACACUGGAACUGAGACACGGUCCAGACUCCUACGGGAGGCAGCAGUGAGGAAUAUUGGUCAAUGGACGCAAGUCUGAACCAGCCAUGUCGCGUGCAGGAUGACUGCCCUAUGGGUUGUAAACUGCUUUUAUAUUGGAAGAAUUGCGCUUACGAGUUAAGCGUUUGACGGUACAUUAUGAAUAAGGAUCGGCUAACUCCGUGCCAGCAGCCGCGGUAAUACGGAGGAUCCGAGCGUUAUCCGGAUUUAUUGGGUUUAAAGGGUGCGUAGGCGGAAAUGUAAGUCAGUGGUGAAAUCCUGCAGCUUAACUGUAGAAUAGCCGUUGAAACUGUGUUUCUUGAGUACAUUUGAGGUAGGCGGAAUGUGGUGUGUAGCGGUGAAAUGCAUAGAUAUACCACAGAACACCGAUUGCGAAGGCAGCUUACUAAACUGUCACUGACGCUGAUGCACGAAAGCGUGGGUAUCANACAGGAUUAGAUACCCUGGUAGUCCACGCUGUAAACGAUGAUUACUGGUUGUUUGCGAUACACUGCAAGUGACUGAGCGAAAGCAUUAAGUAAUCCACCUGGGGAGUACGUCGGCAACGAUGAAACUCAAAGGAAU
rnacentral:rRNA from 1 species